GCCGGACCCCUCGUGCGGUGGUACCUCUCCGAACUCCCCCAGGGCAGGAAUGCAGCAAGGGUAGGAGAGCUCUUCCAGGUGUGCGAGGGGUUCACUUGU
rnacentral:SRP_RNA from 1 species